UUUUAAAUCAUAUAUUUACAUAAAAUAUAUCAAAUUAAAGCUCUUAUCGUGAUCUUUAAUUUGAUAUGCAUAUUAAAUAUUUUACAAUUAAUCGAAUUUUACAAUUUAAAAAAAUAAAAAAAUUAAUGGAAAUAUGUAAAUGGAAUAUUAAAAAUUAAUGGUUGUUUCUUAAAAAAAGAGUUAAUGGCAGUUAUCUACACAUAAUUAAAUGUGCAUGCGAAAAUUUACAAAUAUUAAUUUGAGUUUGAACUUUUGACUUUAAUUUUUCUAUUAUUCACAAAAUUGCCACCUAAAUCAAUUUGAAAUCAAUUUCAAAUUGGAAACUACCUUUUUAAUAUAGUAUAGAUU
rnacentral:lncRNA from 1 species